rnacentral:rRNA from 1 species
UACAGAGGUCCCAAGCGUUGUUCGGAUUCAUUGGGCGUAAAGGGUGCGUAGGUGGCAUUGUAAGUCAGGUGUGAAAGCCUGGGGCUUAACCCCAGAAGAGCACUUGAAACUGCGAGGCUAGAGGACUGGAGAGGAGACUGGAAUUCACGGUGUAGCAGUGAAAUGCGUAGAUAUCGUGAGGAAGGCCAGUGGCGAAAGCGGGUCUCUGGACAGUUCCUGACACUGAGGCACGAAGGCUAGGGGAGCAAACGGG